GUCCACGCCGUAAACGGUGAGUGCUCGUCGUCGUGGGUAUUGACCCCUGCGGUGACCAAGUUAACGCAUGAAGCACUCCGCCUGGGAAGUACGGUCGCAAGACUAAAACUCAAAGAAAUUGACGGGGGCCCGCACAAGCGGUGGAGCAUGUUGUUUAAUUCGAAGCAACGCGCAGAACCUUACCUGGAUUUGACAUCUCGGGAAUCUCUCCGAAAGGAGAGAGUGCCUUCGGGAACCCGAUGA
rnacentral:rRNA from 1 species